AGUAGCGUGAAGGAUGACUGCCCUAUGGGUUGUAAACUUCUUUUAUACGGGAAUAAAGUGAGCCACGUGUGGCUUUUUGUAUGUACCGUAUGAAUAAGGAUCGGCUAACUCCGUGCCAGCAGCCGCGGUAAUACGGAGGAUCCGAGCGUUAUCCGGAUUUAUUGGGUUUAAAGGGAGCGUAGGCGGGUUGUUAAGUCAGUUGUGAAAGUUUGCGGCUCAACCGUAAAAUUGCAGUUGAUACUGGCGACCUUGAGUGCAACAGAGGUAGGCGGAAUUCGUGGUGUAGCGGUGAAAUGCUUAGAUAUCACGAAGAACUCCGAUUGCGAAGGCGGCUUACUGGAUUGUAACUGACGCUGAUGCUCGAAAGUGUGGGUAUCAAACAGGAUUAGAUACCCUGGUAGUCCACACAGUAAACGAUGAAUACUCGCUGUUGGCGAUAUACGGUCAGCGGCCAAGCGAAAGCAUUAAGUAUUCCACCUGGGGAGUACGCCGGCAACGGUGAAACUCAAAGGAAUUGACGGGGGCCCGCACAAGCGGAGGAACAUGUGGUUUAAUUCGAUGAUACGCGAGGAACCUUACCCGGGCUUAAAUUGCAACUGACUGAACCGGAAACGGUUCUUUCUUCGGACAGUUGUGAAGGUGCUGCAUGGUUGUCGUCAGCUCGUGCCGUGAGGUGUCGGCUUAAGUGCCAUAACGAGCGCAACCCUUAUCGAUAGUUACUAGCAGGUCAUGCUGAGGACUCUAUUGAGACUGCCGUCGUAAGAUGUGAGGAAGGUGGGGAUGACGUCAAAUCAGCACGGCCCUUACGUCCGGGGCUACACACGUGUUACAAUGGGGGGUACAGAAGGCAGCUACACGGCGACGUGGUGCUAAUCCCUAAAGCCUCUCUCAGUUCGGAUUGGAGUCUGCAACCCGACUCCAUGAAGCUGGAUUCGCUAGUAAUCGCGCAUCAGCCACGGCGCGGUGAAUACGUUCCCGGGCCUUGUACACACCGCCC
rnacentral:rRNA from 1 species